GCGUUGAUGGUGUAAUGGUUAGCAUUGCUGCCUUCCAAGCAAUACACCUGGGUUCGAUUCCCGGUCAACGCA
rnacentral:tRNA from 1 species